rnacentral:rRNA from 1 species
GCCGGAGGCCACUGCUAUUGGGAUUCGACUAAGCCAUGCGAGUCGAGCGGGUUCGGCCCUCGGCAGACUGCUCAGUAACACGUGGAUAACCUAACCUUAGGUGGAGAAUAACCUCGGGAAACUGAGAAUAAUACUCCAUAGAUCUAGGAUGCUGGAAUGCAUCUAGGUUGAAAGUUGCGGCGCCUAAGGAUGGGUCUGCGGACUAUCAGGUUGUAGUCAGGGUAAUGACCUGACUAGCCUACGACGGAUAUGGGUUGUGAGAGCAAUAGCCCAGAGACGAUAUCUGAGACACGAUAUCGGGCCCUACGGGGCGCAGCAGGCGCGAAAUCUUCACAAUGUGCGAGAGCACGAUGAGGGAAUCCCAAGUGCUGGCACGUAAGUGUCAGCUGUUUUCUAGUCUAAAAAACUAGGAGAGUAAGAGCUGGGUAAGACGGGUGCCAGCCGCCGCGGUAAUACCUGCAGCUCAAGUGGUGGCCGCUAUUAUUGGGCCUAAAACGUCCGUAGCCGGUUUAGUAAAUGCUUGGGUAAAUUGUGUAGCUUAACUAUACGAAUACCGAGUAGACUGCUAGACUUGGGACUGGGAGAGGCUAGAGGUACUCCUGGGGUAGAGGUGAAAUUCUGUAAUCCUAGGGGGACCACCAGUGGCGAAGGCGUCUAGCUAGAACGGGUCUGACGGUGAGGGACGAAGCCCUGGGGCGCAAACCGGAUUAGAUACCCGGGUAGUCCAGGGUGUAAACGCUGCUUGCUUGAUGUUAGUUGGGCUCCGAGCCCCACUAGUGUCGGAGAGAAGUUGUUA